AUGAACGCUGGCGGCGUGCUUAACACAUGCAAGUCGAACGAUGAAGCCCAGCUUGCUGGGUGGAUUAGUGGCGAACGGGUGAGUAACACGUGAGUAACCUGCCCUUGACUCUGGGAUAAGCCUGGGAAACUGGGUCUAAUACCGGAUAGGAACGUCCACCGCAUGGUGGGUGUUGGAAAGAUUUAUCGGUCAUGGAUGGACUCGCGGCCUAUCAGCUUGUUGGUGAGGUAAUGGCUCACCAAGGCGACGACGGGUAGCCGGCCUGAGAGGGUGACCGGCCACACUGGGACUGAGACACGGCCCAGACUCCUACGGGAGGCAGCAGUGGGGAAUAUUGCACAAUGGGCGAAAGCCUGAUGCAGCGACGCCGCGUGAGGGAUGACGGCCUUCGGGUUGUAAACCUCUUUCAGUAGGGAAGAAGCGAAAGUGACGGUACCUGCAGAAGAAGCACCGGCUAACUACGUG
rnacentral:rRNA from 1 species